CCUACGAGAGGCAGCAGUGGGGAAUAUUGCACAAUGGGGGCAACCCUGAUGCAGCGACGCCGCGUGAGCGAUGAAGUAUUUCGGUAUGUAAAGCUCUAUCAGCAGGGAAGAAAAUGUCAGUACUUGACUCAGUCGCCCCGGCCAAUGACCUGCCAGCAGCCGCGGUAAGACGGAGGGCGCAAGCGUUAUCCGGAUUUACUGGGGGGAAAGGGAGCGUAGACGGUUCUGCAAGCCAGAUGUGAAAGCCCGGGGCUGAACCCGGGGACUGCAUUUGAUACUGUAAGGCUAGAGUGUAGGAGAGGCAGGCGGAAUUACUGGUGUAGCGGUGAAAUGCGUAGAUAUUAGGAGGAACACCAGUGGCGAAGGCGGCCUGCUGGACGAUGACUGACGUUGAGGCGCGAAAGCGUGGGGAGCAAACAGGAUUAGAUACCCGUGUAGUC
rnacentral:rRNA from 1 species